GAUGAACGCUGGCGAUAGGCUUAACACAUGCAAGUCGAGGGGCAGCAUGGUCUUAGCUUGCUAAGGCUGAUGGCGACCGGCGCACGGGUGCGUAACGCGUAUGCAACUUGCCUCACAGAGGGGGAUAACCCGUCGAAAGACGGACUAAUACCGCGUACACUCUAUGUUGGGCAUCCAAUGUAGAGGAAAUGAAAUUCGCUGUGAGAUAGGCAUGCGUCCCAUUAGCUAGUUGGUGAGGUAACGGCUCACCAAGGCGACGAUGGGUAGGGGAACUGAGAGGUUGAACCCCCACACUGGUACUGAGACACGGACCAGACUCCUACGGGAGGCAGCAGUGAGGAAUAUUGGUCAAUGGGCGAGAGCCUGAACCAGCCAAGUCGCGUGAAGGAUGACUGUCUUAUGGAUUGUAAACUUCUUUUAUACGGGAAUAACAAGAGUCACGUGUGGCUCCCUGCAUGUACCGUAUGAAUAAGCAUCGGCUAACUCCGUG
rnacentral:rRNA from 1 species